rnacentral:rRNA from 1 species
AACGGACGAGAAGCUUGCUUCUCUGAUGUUAGCGGCGGACGGGUGAGUAACACGUGGAUAACCUACCUAUAAGACUGGGAUAACUUCGGGAAACCGGAGCUAAUACCGGAUAAUAUUUUGAACCGCAUGGUUCAAAAGUGAAAGACGGUCUUGCUGUCACUUAUAGAUGGAUCCGCGCUGCAUUAGCUAGUUGGUAAGGUAACGGCUUACCAAGGCAACGAUGCAUAGCCGACCUGAGAGGGUGAUCGGCCACACUGGAACUGAGACACGGUCCAGACUCCUACGGGAGGCAGCAGUAGGGAAUCUUCCGCAAUGGGCGAAAGCCUGACGGAGCAACGCCGCGUGAGUGAUGAAGGUCUUCGGAUCGUAAAACUCUGUUAUUAGGGAAGAACAUAUGUGUAAGUAACUGUGCACAUCUUGACGGUACCUAAUCAGAAAGCCACGGCUAACUACGUGCCAGCAGCCGCGGUAAUACGUAGGUGGCAAGCGUUAUCCGGAAUUAUUGGGCGUAAAGCGCGCGUAGGCGGUUUUUUAAGUCUGAUGUGAAAGCCCACGGCUCAACCGUGGAGGGUCAUUGGAAACUGGAAAACUUGAGUGCAGAAGAGGAAAGUGGAAUUCCAUGUGUAGCGGUGAAAUGCGCAGAGAUAUGGAGGAACACCAGUGGCGAAGGCGACUUUCUGGUCUGUAACUGACGCUGAUGUGCGAAAGCGUGGGGAUCAAACAGGAUUAGAUACCCUGGUAGUCCACGCCGUAAACGAUGAGUGCUAAGUGUUAGGGGGUUUCCGCCCCUUAGUGCUGCAGCUAACGCAUUAAGCACUCCGCCUGGGGAGUACGACCGCAAGGUUGAAACUCAAAGGAAUUGACGGGGACCCGCACAAGCGGUGGAGCAUGUGGUUUAAUUCGAAGCAACGCGAAGAACCUUACCAAAUCUUGACAUCCUUUGACAACUCUAGAGAUAGAGCCUUCCCCUUCGGGGGACAAAGUGACAGGUGGUGCAUGGUUGUCGUCAGCUCGUGUCGUGAGAUGUUGGGUUAAGUCCCGCAACGAGCGCAACCCUUAAGCUUAGUUGCCAUCAUUAAGUUGGGCACUCUAAGUUGACUGCCGGUGACAAACCGGAGGAAGGUGGGGAUGACGUCAAAUCAUCAUGCCCCUUAUGAUUUGGGCUACACACGUGC